GAUGAACGCUAGCAGCAGGCUUAACACAUGCAAGUCGAGGGGUAUGGUUCUUCGGAACCAGAGACCGGCGCACGGGUGCGUAACGCGUAUGCAAUCUACCUUUUACAGAGGGAUAGCCCAGAGAAAUUUGGAUUAAUACCUCAUAGUAUAACAUGACCGCAUGGUCGAGUUAUUAAAGUCACAACGGUAAAAGAUGAGCA
rnacentral:rRNA from 1 species